CAUUGAUUCAUUGCAUCGUUAACAGCUCACUGGAGGGGAAGAUUAUCAGUGACUUAAAUUUCGGUUUGUUCCUCGCACAAAUCUCGGCCAUCUCCUGUCUCAUAUCUAGAGAAAAGGAUGUCCUCCUCUGGCUGGUAAAGAGAAAGUGCUGUGCCACGCAGCAUUUUGGUCAGUGACUGCCAUCAACGGGGAAAACCAGGAUCUUAUCGCCAUUAUAACCACAGGGUAAAGACAGAAGGAGGGAUGUCCAAAGGAAAAUAAGGGAAAUGUAUCCACACAUUUCUUUAUUUUUUCCUUUUUCAAAAUUACAAAAAUAAUCAGCAUGAAAAUCACUUUAAAUGCCUUUUUAAGACAAUAAACAGCAUUUAUAUGGACUAAAAUAUAAAGACUGAGUUCUCUUAUGCAUAUUUAUUUUAAGUACAUGUAUAAAUAUGUGGUGUAUAAAUUAAAACUAUGCAAGUUAAAUAUCAAUGUAUAAAUAGUUUGUUAGGUCACAUACCUGAGUUGAGUCUUCUAGUUUCAGUCCCACAAAAAAAUGUUGCUACGUAAAAGAAAAAGCCUUCACACAGUCUCUGAAGGACGAGAGAUUAGCUUCCCUAUUUACCAUAAUUCCUCUUUUGUUUUCUUGUGAAACAUUUCUCAGCCCUAUUUUUUUCUGUCCAGCAUGACAUUCAGAAUGAACUGUGCUGUGUUAACAAAUCUUGAAUUGCAAACACAAAUGCAUUUAAAUUUUAAAGUCAGCCAUGCUACAACUUCACGUACAUUAAAUGUUUUUGUUUUCAAGAAAUCUGAUUCUAUUUCCAUUUUUGAAGCACAUCACAUCUAUUUAUGUAUGCCAUCAUUACUGAUGUAAGCAGUCUAUUUAACAACUGUUGUGACAGACGGAAUUGAUGCCAUCUGGACUGCAGGAGCAAAUGCUACCGGUGCCACAUUGAUCACUCCAACCAACUGCUGUGUAGCGAUGACUUGUGUGGUGGUUGCCAUUUGAAUAGGUUGAAUCACGGGAUGUGUUGUCAGUACAGUGACCGUUUGUUUGCGUGCUUUUAUUUCUCUACUCAUCUGACACCAAGAGCACCAGAUGCAACAGCAAGUCACCAUGAUGUCCUCACAGAUACUGCCCUGUUGCAACACAUACAAACAAAUUAUUGUUUUGAAGCCCUCUUUGAUUAACUGGUUCACUGGUAUAGGGAAAGGAAAAACUCAUCCCAAUAUCAUAUUUGUGGCGAACUGCCACCCUCAUUCCCAGAGACACAGGUGGCACGCAUACUGGAACCCCAAAAGCUGCCAUGAUGCCUGGGCCGAAUAUGUCCAGCAGAGGCAGACAAGUGCUGUCCCCAAACUCUCCAGUGGUGGAGCAGAUAAAGCAAGGAAAGCACCAGAACCCAUAGCAGCCUCGGGACCAAAAAAUGCACAUAAUAUGAUAUCAUUUGCAUAAUUUUUAAUGAACUGUAAAAAUGGUCCUGUAAUAUUUAUUAUAAGGCCUGUAAGCAUACUUACAAGAAUUCAAGUCCUGGCAACAGUCACAUAUUCCUGAAUUCCAGCCACUCCUCAUAGGCAUCUGCACAACUACGAAUUCUGAGUAUGGGUCACCAUACUUGGCCGUAUGUCAUGUCACGUCACGUCAAUCAAGAAAUGUCUUAAAUAGGACCUGCCUGACACCUUGAAGUAGACCAAUAGAUCCUCAAAAGGUAGAUAUCAUGCCGAGAUCCAAAGAAAUUCAGAAACAAAUGAGAAAGAAAGUAAUUGAGAUCUAUCCGUCUGGAAAAGGUUAUAAAGCAAUUACAAAAGCUUUGGGACUC